rnacentral:rRNA from 1 species
AACACAUGCAAGUCGAACGGUCCAGUAUCUAACACCGAGUAUUUUAGGAGCUCAUAAGUUGGUGACAGCGAGAGCGCGAAGAAUGAGCGCUCCACGCAUUAAAUAAGUACCAACACUGAAACUUAGAAUAUUGGGUGUUAGAUGCUGGAUAGUGGCGGACGGGUGAGUAACGCGUGGAUAACCUACCCAUGAGAUCGGGACAACCCUUGGAAACGAGGGCUAAUACCGGAUAGCCUUAAGAGCUGGCAUCAGCACUUAAGGGAAGGUGGCCUCUGAACAUGCUACCGCUGAUGGAUGGAUCCGCGUCUGAUUAGCUAGUUGGUGGGGUAAAGGCCUACCAAGGCCACGCUCAGUAGCCGGCCUGAGAGGGUGAACGGCCACACUGGGACUGAGACACGGCCCAGACUCCUACGGGAGGCAGCAGUGGGGAAUCUUCCGCAAUGGACGAAAGUCUGACGGAGCAACGCCGCGUGUACGAUGAAGGCCUUCGGGUUGUAAAGUACUGUCUUCAGGGACGAAUGGUAGGUGUGUAAAUAAUGCGUCUACAUGACGUACC